rnacentral:rRNA from 1 species
GGGGCGGGGGUAGCUUGCUACCUGCCGGCGAGUGGCGAACGGGUGAGUAAUACAUCGGAACGUGCCCUGUAGUGGGGGAUAACUAGUCGAAAGACUAGCUAAUACCGCAUACGACCUGAGGGUGAAAGUGGGGGACCGCAAGGCCUCAUGCUAUAGGAGCGGCCGAUGUCUGAUUAGCUAGUUGGUGGGGUAAGGGCCCACCAAGGCGACGAUCAGUAGCUGGUCUGAGAGGACGAUCAGCCACACUGGGACUGAGACACGGCCCAGACUCCUACGGGAGGCAGCAGUGGGGAAUUUUGGACAAUGGGGGCAACCCUGAUCCAGCAAUGCCGCGUGUGUGAAGAAGGCCUUCGGGUUGUAAAGCACUUUUGUCCGGAAAGAAAUCGCACUGGUUAAUACCUGGUGUGGAUGACGGUACCGGAAGAAUAAGGACCGGCUAACUACGUGCCAGCAGCCGCGGUAAUACGUAGGGUCCAAGCGUUAAUCGGAAUUACUGGGCGUAAAGCGUGCGCAGGCGGUUGUGCAAGACCGAUGUGAAAUCCCCGGGCUUAACCUGGGAAUUGCAUUGGUGACUGCACGGCUAGAGUGUGUCAGAGGGAGGUAGAAUUCCACGUGUAGCAGUGAAAUGCGUAGAGAUGUGGAGGAAUACCGAUGGCGAAGGCAGCCUCCUGGGAUAACACUGACGCUCAUGCACGAAAGCGUGGGGAGCAAACAGGAUUAGAUACCCUGGUAGUCCACGCCCUAAACGAUGUCAACUAGUUGUUGGGGAUUCAUUUCCUUAGUAACGUAGCUAACGCGUGAAGUUGACCGCCUGGGGAGUACGGUCGCAAGAUUAAAACUCAAAGGAAUUGACGGGGACCCGCACAAGCGGUGGAUGAUGUGGAUUAAUUCGAUGCAACGCGAAAAACCUUACCUACCCUUGACAUGCCACUAACGAAGCAGAGAUGCAUUAGGUGCUCGAAAGAGAAAGUGGACACAGGUGCUGCAUGGCUGUCGUCAGCUCGUGUCGUGAGAUGUUGGGUUAAGUCCCGCAACGAGCGCAACCCUUGUCUCUAGUUGCUACGAAAGGGCACUCUAGAGAGACUGCCGGUGACAAACCGGAGGAAGGUGGGGAUGACGUCAAGUCCUCAUGGCCCUUAUGGGUAGGGCUUCACACGUCAUACAAUGGUGCAUACAGAGGGUUGCCAAGCCGCGAGGUGGAGCUAAUCCCAGAAAAUGCAUCGUAGUCCGGAUCGUAGUCUGCAACUCGACUACGUGAAGCUGGAAUCGCUAGUAAUCGCGGAUCAGCAUGCCGCGAUGGCCC